rfam:Burkholderia phymatum STM815 chromosome 2, complete sequence.
CACGGUUCGCGCGACUGGCGCCUAGUUCAGGUGGACCACCAUCGGGGAACGCGAACCGGGGCCCAGCGCCGCUGGAGUCAUUGGCGAUGCCCCGUUCGAGCCGCGCGCCUGGGCCUUGCUG